UACGGAGGGGGCUAGCGUUGUUCGGAAUUACUGGGCGUAAAGCGCACGUAGGCGGCUUUGUAAGUUAGAGGUGAAAGCCCAGGGCUUAACCCUGGAAUUGCCUUUAAGACUGCAUCGCUAGAAUCGUGGAGAGGUGAGUGGAAUUCCGAGUGUAGAGGUGAAAUUCGUAGAUAUCAGGAGGAACACCGGUGGCGAAGGCGGCCAUCUGGACGACAACUGACGCUGAGGCGCGAAAGCGUGGGGAUCAAACAGGG
rnacentral:rRNA from 1 species